rnacentral:lncRNA from 1 species
GGGUCUGGAAACACUCCAAGCUAGUUCGGAACAUGAUCUCUCCAGGACCAUACAGAACAAGAGAUUCUUCCUUGUCCUUGACAAUGCAAAGGAUAACCUGCAACGUGAAUGGAAGACUGUGAGAGCAAAAUUAACUGGAGCAGCAGCAGGGAGCAUAGUACUGGUGACAACUAGAUCAGAAGUGACUCAUGCCAUUCCAGGAGGUAUAGUUAUAACUUUGGAUAAAAUUCCAACAUCUGUUCUCUCGAUGAUUCUGAAGCACCACGCGUUUGGACUCACCAGAAAAGAUUCUCUGGAAUCAAUUGGUGACAAAAUAGCUGGUAAGUUGCAUGGCCUGCCCUUAUCGGCAGAGGUAAUCGGGAGGCUUCUCAGAACGAAGUUAGAUGAAGACCACUGGCGAAAUGUUUGUGAAAGCAAUUGGUGGAAUGACUAUGAAGAUCUGGUCAUCACUAAUCCUGCUUUACCUUCAGUAACGAUUGCACUGGAAUUCCUCAGAAAUGACCUAAAGAAAUGUUUGGGUUACUGUUCCAUGUUCCCAUCCAGUUAUUUAUUUGACAAAAGAAAAAUGACUCAAAUGUGGGUGUGUAAUUCUAUGCAACAACAUCAAGAAUCCGCAUAUGAGAUCACAGACAUUCGAUGGCUUGAUGAGCUCUUGAACAGGUCACUUAUCCAGUCAACUGUAUGGAAGGGUAAAUAUACAGUGAAUGAAAUGAUCAAAAAAGUUGUGGCCUCCAUAAAUCAAACAGGAUGUUACACAAUAGACGAUUUACACAGUCCCAGACAAAACCUUUCCAAUAUCAUCCACAUGGCAGUUGACAAAUAUGAUUUCGAAGUGUCAUUGGACCUAAGAAAACAAAGCAAGGUACGGAGCAUUUUAUUUUUUGAUGGCCAGAGAACAACCAUGCUGAAUACAGCCCUUAAUAGCAUAUUGCCUGUUUCAAGUUCCCUGAGGGUGUUAGACCUGUCUUGCAUUGAAACUAAGAUGGAAAGGCCCCCUGAUGUCAUCAGUACAUGCUCUCACCUAAGGUACUUGGACCUAUCCUUCACUGGGAUCACAAUGUUUCCAGACUCAUUCUGUAAGCUACUCCUUUUACAAGUUCUAGGUAUGCGAGGAUGUAGAUUCACAGAGUUACCUAGGGAUAUGAAUAAGCUAGUCAACCUGCGAUAUUUAUAUGCAGAAGCUUGCACACUCUCUUUGAUACAUAGUAUAGGCCAGCUAUCCAAGCUUCAAUACUUGGAAGAAUUUGCUGUCAGUGAAAAGGAGGGGUAUAGGAUAACAGAACUGAAGGAUUUGAAUUACCUUGGUGGCCAUCUUUGUAUUACGAAUCUUGAGAAAGUGGCAUGUGUGAAUGAGGUGUGUGACGCGCGUCAUGCUGAGCUGUCUAAAAAAAUGUACCUCCAGAAGUUGGCUCUAAAGUGGAAUUCACAGCCAGCAACACUUGAUGGUUGCACGGAAACUGUUUCACACCUAAAACCAAAUGGACAACUUAAGGAUCUCGAGAUCCACUGCUACAUGGGAGUGAAGUUUCCAGGAUGGAUAGCAGAUGACCAGCACUUCACCACACUGCGAUACAUUAAAUUCAGUGGCUGUAAAAAAUUGGUAGAACUUCCACCUCUUGGAAAUCUUUCUCACCUUGCGGUUCUAAUUCUACAAGGCUUGGAACAAAUAAAAGAUAUCGGAAAGGAAUUUUAUGGCAGUUAUGACAGGGUAUUUCCAUCCCUUGAAGAACUGACGUUCCGUGACAUGGAAAAUUGGAGGAGGUGGAUGGAUAUAGCACCAACACAAAUUAUUCCACGGAUCAGAAAGAUUGUGAUAAAGAAUUGCAGAAAGCUAGUUGAUCUCCCCAAAUUUGUUCUUGUAGGAUCCCACGAACUGGUAGAAUUGUAAGAACAGAAGAAGCCGAGGAGGAAAACAUGACAUGUUUAAAAGUUCAUGAUUGUUUGGCAAUCAUGAUUGAUCUCCCAAACCAUUUGUUGGCGUCAACCGAGGUAUGGAAUCUUCAAAUCUGUGAAGUGUGCUUCCAAGGAGAGUAAGAACAUAAGCAACUAAGGGAGGUUCUUGAAUCUUGACCAUUAUUGAUUGUAUUGAAGUGAGACAGAGGAAGAAAAGAAAAAAAAAGCUAGCCUUGUCUUCUUUCUUGAAUCUUGAUCAUUAUUGAUUUUAUUGAUUAUUGAUUGUAUUUUUUCUUCUUUCCUGGCUAUUGUCUCCUAGGACUCUAGCCUUGUAAUUUUUCUCCUGCUCUAUUCAAUGAAUCUUCGCGAUGUCUGGUGCGGAUCGUUCAACAACCAGAUUUCUGGUGUGAAUCCUAGUUUUUAAGACAAUUAGUGGUCUAUGAGGAAUGCAAAAAAGGUUUCAAAGCUAUCGACUACCCCCUUGGCUUCAUUUUCACCCCAACUAGUUCGGGCCCACACCUCACCCACCCCAAGGAGGCAAACAAGUAUGUUUACCGAUCUCCUUAAUAGCCGUACCAAGGGAUAAAACUUGCUAUAUUUUGGGACAUAUGAAGUAUUUUAGAAGGAUUGGUUUAACAAAAUAUGUCUUCACAAAACCAUAUUUUGCAGGUUAGCAUCUUAAUGCAUACUAUAAGGUUUCACCAGUAAUUUUUCAACAAAAAAAAAAUCAAGGCCCCUUGCAGUUUACAAUGGUCAAGAUGGAUAUGUCAGUUUCUUCUCAAAAACUUAGAAACUACAGUGCUAUAUUUUGGUUGGCUUUCCCAUUUCCACCACACCUAUCAUCCAUUUCAGGAGCAAUGAUUUUCUUGAAUUUUGCAGUUUUCAGGUUACUGUGUAUAAUAUAUUAAGAAGUUGGUGGCUAAUCUUGAAGAACAAAACAAUUGAGUGAAGAGGCCACGGUGUAGCAGGUAAACAAGUUCCCUGACUAAUUGCAAUCUCGGACCAUAGGAAGAGCAAGAGGAAAGGCAAACCUUUUACCAUCAGAUAGUCCACUUCUGUUUAUGUUCUUUUUACAUUAUGCUGUAAUCUGAUAUCUACAGGUUUCUUAUUGCUCCUAUUAAUAUAGCAAAAGCACUCCACUGGAUUUUCGAAAAAAAAAUACUAUGUACUUCCUUUGUUUCACAAUAUAAGAUGUUUUAGGUUUUGAAUAGAUUCAUGCAUGGAUUUAUGUAUGUACUCCGUUCUUCAUUUAUGUGUCCAAAUUAAUAUGUAUAUGUGCGACUCUAGACGAGAGAUGGAGAAGCCAAAAUGUCUAAUAAUAUGGAAGAGAGGGAGUAUUAUAUUUUCUAUCAACCUUUUAGCUCUCAGAGUUACCCUUUUUUCAGAAUCAUUGACAGAGUGAGGUACAAUGUACAUGGGAACUGCUAGUCUGUAGAUUGUUCGUUAUGUAUUCAGAGGCUGCACAAAUAGACCUGAAUGUUUGAACUAUCUAUGAUUUGAAGAAUUCGCCCACUUGAAACAUGGGACCUUCUAGCAACAUGAACAGGGUUCACGCGGAGAUUAGCCAUGCCACAAGAAAGAUAAACAUAGCCCGUAUUACCACACAGAAUGCUGCAAUGCUAUAUUAUACACAAAGAGCCGAAGAGGACAAUCAUAUUUAAUACUGAGAACGGCAGGCGCGCGAUGGGGGGCGUACCUUAAUUCCGAGUUACUCCAUCAGAAAGAUACCACUGCAUUGUCAUCGAAUAGGACGGCUGCAUGCCACCGCAUGAUUGCGGAUUCCCGGCCACUUCAGAUGAUCAAAUCGACGCCUUCAUCUGUCCGCACCUGGUGCAGAGCGAAGAGCGGAGUCAGGGAGAAGUGCGCAUUUCGUCGAGCAAGUGGCGAGCACCACUCACCUGGGCAAAGAGACGGCCCGCAGAAGCAACCAGCGGAGGAGAGGAGGGGGAGCUCGCCUGCAUCACCUAGGCACCGCCUGCCUCGUGAACGCCGACACGGUUCAGGAGCCCGUAGAGGUAGAGGUAGAGCGGCUAGGGCCAUCGGCCUCCGCCGGCGUGUCCUCACUCGGGACUCGGGAGAGGGCGUGAGGCUCGCCGCCUCGCGCCCUUCGGGGAAGAUGCAGAAUUUUUAUUUUAUUUUUCUGUUCUGACCUUUAUUGACACGUCUCAC